rnacentral:rRNA from 1 species
UGUCUUUCCUGCAGUCGAACGGCAGCGCGGGCUUCGGCCUGGCGGCGAGUGGCGAACGGGUGAGUAAUACAUCGGAACGUGCCCUGUCGUGGGGGAUAACUAGUCGAAAGAUUAGCUAAUACCGCAUACGACCYGAGGGUGAAAGCGGGGGACCGUAAGGCCUCGCGCGAUAGGAGCGGCCGAUGUCUGAUUAGCUAGUUGGUGGGGUAAGAGCCUACCAAGGCGACGAUCAGUAGCUGGUCUGAGAGGACGAUCAGCCACACUGGGACUGAGACACGGCCCAGACUCCUACGGGAGGCAGCAGUGGGGAAUUUUGGACAAUGGGGGCAACCCUGAUCCAGCAAUGCCGCGUGUGUGAAGAAGGCCUUCGGGUUGUAAAGCACUUUUGUCCGGAAAGAAAUGGCGCUGGUUAAUACCUGGCGUCGAUGACGGUACCGGAAGAAUAAGCACCGGCUAACUACGUGCCAGCAGCCGCGGUAAUACGUAGGGUGCGAGCGUUAAUCGGAAUUACUGGGCGUAAAGCGUGCGCAGGCGGUUUGAUAAGACAGGCGUGAAAUCCCCGAGCUCAACUUGGGAAUGGCGCUUGUGACUGUCAGGCUAGAGUAUGUCAGAGGGGGGUAGAAUUCCACGUGUAGCAGUGAAAUGCGUAGAGAUGUGGAGGAAUACCGAUGGCGAAGGCAGCCCCCUGGGACGUCACUGACGCUCAUGCACGAAAGCGUGGGAGCAAACAGGAUUAGAUACCCUGGUAGUCCACGCCCUAAACGAUGUCAACUAGUUGUUGGGGAUUCAUUUCUUCAGUAACGUAGCUAACGCGUGAAGUUGACCGCCUGGGGAGUACGGUCGCAAGAUUAAAACUCAAAGGAAUUGACGGGGACCCGCACAAGCGGUGGAUGAUGUGGAUUAAUUCGAUGCAACGCGAAAACCUUACCUACCCUUG